UGAUGGCCGUAGCUGCUGUAGUCAAAAAAGAGCCCACAGUGAGUUUUCCCUUGACGGUCACCGUUCAGUUUGCUAUAACUGAUCAGGAAAAGACAUUUCAGGAAAAGACAUUC
rnacentral:snoRNA from 1 species